ACGAACGCUGGCGGCAUGCCUAACACAUGCAAGUCGAACGAGACCUUCGGGUCUAGUGGCGCACGGGUGCGUAACGCGUGGGAACCUGCCCUUAGGUUCGGAAUAACUCCCCGAAAGGGGUGCUAAUACCGGAUAAUGUCUUCGGACCAAAGAUUUAUCGCCUUUGGAUGGGCCCGCGUUGGAUUAGCUAGUUGGUAGGGUAAAAGCCUACCAAGGCGACGAUCCAUAGCUGGUCUGAGAGGAUGAUCAGCCACACUGGGACUGAGACACGGCCCAGACUCCUACGGGAGGCAGCAGUGGGGAAUAUUGGACAAUGGGCGAAAGCCUGAUCCAGCAAUGCCGCGUGAGUGAUGAAGGCCUUAGGGUUGUAAAGCUCUUUUACCCGGGAUGAUAAUGACGGUACCGGGAGAAUAAGCUCCGGCUAACUCCGUG
rnacentral:rRNA from 1 species